CUUGUGGACUUAGGGUAGGUUCUCUCGCGAAUUCGACCACCGCUUGUAGUCCGACGCCGCUGGUGUUGUCCUCCGAGAUGUUGUUCCGGAGCCAGAGGCAGGUCAUCCACCUCUGGCCACGUCGCCGUUGCCUACUUUCAGCCUCCGGGUCCCCCAGUUGGCGUCCGAGCUUCGUCCAUCUGCAGGUUUCAUCGGGGGGAGGGGGGAGAACUCGCCGUUCGGGGGCACCAAUCCCUACAAGGCGCUCUUGCCCCCACCCAGCCGGAAACUCUCGUCGGCGUACCACGAUGUCGCCCACAGGUGAAACGGUUGUCCCCCAAACCGACUUCCCCACCCGAACAUCCUCCUGGUGGCCCGUACUGCUUCCUCCUGGUUUGGGGUGCCCUCUAGUCUCUCCUGGUCCUUGGUGGAAUCCGAAAAAACCGGAUUUGGUCACCGCAAUCCAAAGCGCCAACGUCAUCACGGAGCGGUCACCCAUCCCAGACCGCCCCGCAACCUGGGGUGCUUAACUUUCGUGAUCUAACGGGAACGAGUGUUUCACCCCAGCCAACGGACGUUGACAACCUAACCCCAACCUAACCCCAACCUAACCCCAACCUAACCCCAACCUAACCCCAACCUAACCCCAACCUAACCCCAACCUAACCCCAACCUAACCCCAACCUAACCCCA
rnacentral:misc_RNA from 1 species